rnacentral:tRNA from 2 species
GGAGGGUUGGCAGAGCGGUUUAAUGCAACGGUCUUGAAAACCGUGGUACCUUUAACAGUACCGAGGGUUCGAAUCCCUCACCCUCCU